ensembl:snRNA U6 U6 spliceosomal RNA
GUGCUUGCUUCGGCAGCACAUAUACUAAAAUUGGAACAAUACAGAGAAGAUUAGCACGGCCCCUGCGCGAGGAUGACACGCAAAUUCAUGAAGCGCUCUGUAUUUUU